rnacentral:snRNA from 1 species
CUUGCUUUGGCACAUGCUGUACUAAAACUGAUAGAAGAUUAGCAUGGCCCCUGUACACAGAUGACACACAAAUUCACGAAGCAGUCCUUAUUUUU